CUAAUGUUUUCUGUUGUUUUUCUGUUGUUUUCUGUUCUUUUCUUUUGUUUUUCUGUUGUUUCCUGUUGUUUUUCUUUUGUUUCCUGUUGUUUUUCUGUUGUUUCCUGUUGUUUCUUGUUGUUUUUCUGUUGUUUCCCGUUGUUUUCUGUUGUUUUUUCUGUUGUUCUCUGUUGUUUCCUGUUGUUUUCUGUUCUAUUCUGUUGUAUUCUGUUGUAUUUUAAUGUAUUCUGUUCUAUUCCGUUGUUUUUCUGUUGUUUCCUGUUGUUUCUUGUUGUUUUUCUGUUGUUUCCCGUUUUUUCUGUUGUUUUCUGUUGUUUCCUGCUGUUUUCUGUUCUAUUCUGUUGUAUUCUGUUGUAUUUUAAUGUAUUAUGUUCUAUUCCGUUGUUUUUUGUUGUAUUCUGUUGUAUUCUGUUGUAUUUUAAUGUAUUAUGUUCUAUUCCGUUGUUUUUUGUUGUAUUCUGUUGUAUUCUGUUGUAUUUUAAUGUAUUAUGUUCUAUUCCGUUGUUUUUUGUUGUAUUCUGUUGUAUUUUAAUGUAUUCUGUUGUCUAUUCUGUUGUAUUCCAGUGGUGUAUCAGAAUUGGUGUACGUUUAGAAAUAAGGGACGUUUAUGCAUUUUUUUCAUUGACUUGGAAAAAACACAAACGUUUGCUUAAUUAUGGACGAACGGCUUCGAGUUGCCUCGUGCAAUAUCAGAAACCACUACAUGCUUGAGAUGCCCCGUUAACACCUCGCCCCGCCCCCACCUUCCUGGCCUGCCCGCCCCCUGGCAUAAAUUGUUUCCAGAAACCCCUAAAUGACCGACUCUUCCAUGCCUGAGAUGACCCGCCCUGCCCUGCGUCAUGACCUCCCGGCAUACAUUGGCCAAGCAGUGCAGAGGAGAAGGAGGAGGAGGAGAAGAAGGAGGAAGAAGAAGAGGAGGAUCUACCAAGGACAACCUCUGCUGCUCCGGGUAUCAACUCCUGCACUCCUGGGACUGGCAUAACAUCUGCAUGCCCUUGUAACAACUCACUCUGCUUCUGCUAUUCAUAACACCCCGUUCUGCGUCUGCUGUCGUAACAGGGCAUGGCUUCUGUAUACUAACUCCUGCUCGCAUAACCCGCAUGGAUUUACACUUCUCUCUGCUUCUGGCUUUCGUACCUAUCAACACAUUCUGCGCCUUCCUUCGUAACUAAUCCCACGGCUUCUCUGCAUGACAACUCCAGCUGCUUACGGCAAAAUUUCGCAUAACAGCUACUCCUGCUUACGUAUGACAAUUCUCUCUGGCUUCCAUAACAGCACGUAUGGCUUUUGCAUGUGAACGCAUUUCAUUUCUGCUGCUCACUAACCCACACUGCUGGCUUGAGUAUCCUAACGACCUAACCCAUUCUGUAAGCUGCCGCCCAGUGCUCCAGGUGACCCCUAACAAGCCUGUCGGAUCGGCGUCUAGCGAGGGAGGUUCCGUCAGGUUCCGUUCCCUGCUAGAGCUGUCUCCCUUCACCUUAAAAAAUAUAGUUUGACAUAUUUGAGAGCAGCAGUACAGGCCAGGUAUCAGAGAGGGGUUCAGGCCUAUAUGGGGACACCUCUGUUAGG